CAGCCGUAAACUAUGCGCGUUAAGUGUAUCGGUGACCACGAGUUACCGAGGUGCCGAAGGGAAACCGUGAAACGUGCCGCCUGGGAAGUACGGUCGCAAGGCUGAAACUUAAAGGAAUUGGCGGGGGAGCACCACAACAGGUGGAGCCUGCGGUUUAAUUGGACUCAACGCCGGGAAGCUCACCGGAUAGGACAGCAGAAUGAUUGCCGGGCUGAAGACCCUGCAUGACUAGCUGAGAGGAGGUGCAUGGCGUCAGUGACU
rnacentral:rRNA from 1 species